UAUGAAUCACCGGGGGAUCCUGUUAAAAUGCAGAUUUUGAUUCGGUAGCCCCAGGUGUGCCUCCACAUGCUCCCAGCUUUGCUCCCAGACACGCUCCAUGUCCCGCUGCUCAGAGGCAAACCCUGUCAAGAUUGCAGACUGUCUCCUUUAAGAUGGGGAUAAUUUCUUUGACUAAAAUCAGACCACAACGGAUAAUUGUGGGACACAAGGUGUAGAUGAAAUCUAGCAAUUUCUUGGACACCCAGUGAAGCUCUAGCUUUAAUAUAGGACCACAGGGCUUCAAGUGACCACUAAUUGGUCCCAGGUUGAUGCUUGUUACCAGUGGGUGGGCCUAGAAAAGCUGCUCCGAGGGGGAGUGUUGGGCCUAUUUCUUCAUUUCCUUUACACCAGACAACAGUGGGCUUGCAGAGGAAGCCACCAAAGUUGGUGAAGUGUAAACACUAUCCCAUUCUCUAGAAAAGCCUCAUUAGGGAAGGUUUGCAGCGGUGUCAUGGAAGCCCAGGACAGCAG